CAAAGAAAGAUGCUAAACUAUUUUUGCGAUGUGUUCCUAAUAUGUAAUCUAAAUGUAUUGGGAACAUUUUGCAUUCAUAGUUUUGUAUCAAUA
ensembl:miRNA MIR450A2 microRNA 450a-2